rnacentral:tmRNA from 1 species
CCCCUUCCAAAUGGCGCUCGGAGCACCUAUAUUGGACAUGCCGCUUCGGCGGCUAUGGCGAUAAACGUUUUGUGAAAUAAGCGUUGCGGACCCGGGGGCGGUACCCGGCGCCUCCACCAUUUCCGUUUGGUAACCGCGGCAGGCGGUACCCCACAGGCGGUAUUCCAUGGGGGCGAAAUAGGAUCGACGUGCGUGGUAAAGGCAAAAUUUUCGCCCGGCAUGAUACCACCGUUAUCGGGUCACACCUUAGGUGCGAACGACAAUGAACUCGCACUCGCUGCUUAAGUAAGCAAGCGCGGCCCGGGGGGCGCCGGGCAACAGAAGCCCCCCACC